GGUAUCUUAGUCUAUUUAGAGGAAUUUGUCCCUUAAUCGAUAGUCCCCGUUUAUUCUUUCUUAAUUUUGUUUAUCAAUUUGUAUAUCUCCGUUAUAAGUUUAUUUUAUAAGAAUUUAAUUUACUAUAAUUUUAAUUGAAAUUUAUUUCAGGUCAAGGUGCAGUUAAUAAUUAAGAGGUGGUGAAUUACAAUUUUAUUAUAAAUUAUGGAUUUAGGUUUGAAAUUAUUCUAAUGAAAGUGGAUUUAUUAGUAAUUUUAUUUAUAUUGGUUUUUUGAUUUAGCUCUAAGAUAAGUACACAUCGCCCGGUCGCUCUA
rnacentral:rRNA from 1 species